rnacentral:rRNA from 1 species
UACAGAGGGGGCAAGCGUUGUUCGGAAUUACUGGGCGUAAAGGGCGCGUAGGCGGCCUUCUAAGUCGAACGUGAAAUCCCCGGGCUCAACCCGGGAACUGCGUCCGAGACUGGAAGGCUCGAAUCCGGGAGAGGGAUGUGGAAUUCCAGGUGUAGCGGUGAAAUGCGUAGAUAUCUGGAGGAACAUCGGUGGCGAAGGCGGCAUCCUGGACCGGUAUUGGCGCUGAGGCGCGAAAGCCAGGGGAGCAAACGGG